rnacentral:rRNA from 1 species
GCUGUCCUUAGUACGAGAGGACCGGGAUGGACGCACCGCUGGUGCACCAGUUGUCACGCCAGUGGCACAGCUGGGUAGCUAUGUGCGGAAGGGAUAAGCGCUGAAAGCAUCUAAGCGUGAAGCCCCCUCCAAGAUGAGACUUCCCACAGCGCAAGCUGGUAAGACCCCUCAUAGACGAUGAGGUUGAUAGGUUCGGUGUGGAAGCGUGGCAACACGUGGAGCUGACGAAUACUAAUCGGUCGAGGACUUAUCCACA